rnacentral:rRNA from 1 species
CCUACGGGAGGCAGCAGUGGGGAAUAUUGGGCAAUGGAGGAAACUCUGACCCAGCAACGCCGCGUGAAGGAUGAAGGUUUUCGGAUUGUAAACUUCUGUUGCGAGGGAUGAAGAAUGACGGUACUUCGUGAGGGAGCCCCGGCAAACUACGUGCCAGCAGCCGCGGUAAUAGGUGGGGGGAAAGCGUUGUCCGGAUUGAUGGGGCGUAAAGGGAGGGUAGGCGGGCUUUAAGUUCUAUGUGAAAGCCCCCGGCUUAACCGAGGAGCUGCAUAUGAAACUGGGGGGCUGGAGUGCAGGAGAGGUAAGCGGAAUUUCUGGUGUAGCGGUGGAAUGCGUAGAUAUUAGGAAGAACACCGGAGGCGAAGGCGGCUUCCUGGACUGUAACUGACGCUGAGGCUCGAAAGCGUGGGGAGCAAACAGGAUUAGAUACCCUUGUAGUC